rnacentral:rRNA from 1 species
AGAGUUUGAUCCUGGCUCAGGACGAACGCUGGCGGCGUGCCUAAUACAUGCAAGUCGAACGAACUCUGGUAUUGAUUGGUGCUUGCAUCAUGAUUUACAUUUGAGUGAGUGGCGAACUGGUGAGUAACACGUGGGAAACCUGCCCAGAAGCGGGGGAUAACACCUGGAAACAGAUGCUAAUACCGCAUAACAACUUGGACCGCAUGGUCCGAGCUUGAAAGAUGGCUUCGGCUAUCACUUUUGGAUGGUCCCGCGGCGUAUUAGCUAGAUGGUGGGGUAACGGCUCACCAUGGCAAUGAUACGUAGCCGACCUGAGAGGGUAAUCGGCCACAUUGGGACUGAGACACGGCCCAAACUCYUACGGGGAGGCAGCAGUAGGGAAUCUUCCACCAAUGGACGAAAGUCUGAUGGAGCAACGCCGCGUGAGUGAAGAAGGGUUUCGGCUCGUAAAACUCUGUUGUUAAAGAAGAACAUAUCUGAGAGUAACUGUUCAGGUAUUGACGGUAUUUAACCAGAAAGCCACGGCUAACUACGUGCCAGCAGCCGCGGUAAUACGUAGGUGGCAAGCGUUGUCCGGAUUUAUUGGGCGUAAAGCGAGCGCAGGCGGUUUUUUAAGUCUGAUGUGAAAGCCUUCGGCUCAACCGAAGAAGUGCAUCGGAAACUGGGAAACUUGAGUGCAGAAGAGGACAGUGGAACUCCAUGUGUAGCGGUGAAAUGCGUAGAUAUAUGGAAGAACACCAGUGGCGAAGGCGGCUGUCUGGUCUGUAACUGACGCUGAGGCUCGAAAGUAUGGGUAGCAAACAGGAUUAGAUACCCUGGUAGUCCAUACCGUAAACGAUGAAUGCUAAGUGUUGGAGGGUUUCCGCCCUUCAGUGCUGCAGCUAACGCAUUAAGCAUCCCGCCUGGGGAGUACGGCCGCAAGGCUGAAACUCAAAGGAAUUUGACGGGGGCCCGCACAAGCGGUGGAGCAUGUGGUUUAAUUUCGAAGCUACGCGAAGAACCUUACCAGGUCUUGACAAUACUAUGCAAAUCUAAGAGAUUAGACGUUCCCUUCGGGGACAUGRAWACAGGUGGUGCAUSSUUGUCGUCAGCUCGUGUCGUGAGAAUGUWGGSUUARGUUCCCGCAACGAGGACGCAAYCMUUAUCUAUUCAGGUUGCCAGCAWUAAGUKGSRCMUCUCUUGGGUGAGASWRCCKGUGACAAACCGGAGGAAGGUGGGGAUGACGUCAAAUCAUCAUGCCCCUUAUGACCUGGGCUACACACGUGCUACAAUGGAUGGUACAACGAGUUGCGAACUCGCGAGAGUAAGCUAAUCUCUUAAAGCCAUUCUCAGUUCGGAUUGUAGGCUGCAACUCGCCUACAUGAAGUCGGAAUCGCUAGUAAUCGCGGAUCAGCAUGCCGCGGUGAAUACGUUCCCGGGUCUUGUACACACCG